rnacentral:rRNA from 1 species
AGGACGAACGCUGGCGGCGUGCUUAACACAUGCAAGUCGAGCGGAAAGGCCCUUCGGGGUACUCGAGCGGCGAACGGGUGAGUAACACGUGAGUAACCUGCCCCUUACUUUGGGAUAACCCUCGGAAACGGGGGCUAAUACCGGAUAUGACUUGUGACCGCAUGGUUGUGGGUGGAAAGUUUUUCGGUGGGGGAUGGGCUCGCGGCCUAUCAGCUUGUUGGUGGGGUAAUGGCCUACCAAGGCGACGACGGGUAGCCGGCCUGAGAGGGCGACCGGCCACACUGGGACUGAGACACGGCCCAGACUCCUACGGGAGGCAGCAGUGGGGAAUAUUGCACAAUGGGCGGAAGCCUGAUGCAGCGACGCCGCGUGAGGGAUGACGGCCUUCGGGUUGUAAACCCCUUUCAGCAGGGACGAAGCGAAAGUGACGGUACCUGCAGAAGAAGCGCCGGCUAACUACGCGCCAGCAGCCGC